AGAAAAUCGCAGCCAUACGGGCUACGCUCCCAUGGCUGAACUUUAUCUGCAUUUUAAUGGCAGGAGGAGGGGGAGGAGUGUGUGUGUGUGUGUGUGUGUGCUGUGUGUUGGGGAGGUGGGGGGGAGGUAAAGACUAUGUGCUCCUCCCUCGCAUCAUAUGUCAGCCAUUAGUGCAUCACAGAGAGCUGGCACAGCACAACAUAGUGCAGUGAAGUGUAGUGGACCGCAGGAGCGCUUCAAACUCUCAGACCAAAAAAAAAAAAAAAGGGGGGGGGGCAGACAAUAAACAGCUGACCUUUGGGACCCAAGAGCACCCACUCAGGACUGACAACUGAAAGAUGAGCCCGUCCACUCAUUUUCUGCCUUCAGUACAAGCACGCCUGGGCUCGAUAAAACCCGACGGGGAUGCGAGGGAGGACGAUAAAGAGUCACAGAACAUCCCGAUCACGUUUGCAAGGAGCUCGAGGAGUCAAAACAACACCGGACGGGGGAAGCAGCUGGUAGGAAUGUUGUCACGGGAAACAUCGAGAGGCGUUUGAUGUGUUCUGCGGCCAGAUGUGUUGGAAGCAAAAUAAGGUGAAAUCCUGACAUAGUUGGGACAUGGUAUAGAGCAAAGCGCAAGUGAAACACACACGCUUUUUUGCCUUGCUUCCCACACAAACGCGCUGAUGACUUUCAGAUGUGACGGUCACGUUUUCUGAUGUUCUGUCCAAGUCCAAUGUCGUUUCUAUCAACGUCGUCUGUGGUUUUUCCACCCCUUUGACUACGACGCUGCUAUCAAGGAACUGCGGUCCAAGUACGCGUUGUACAAUUUCUUUCAAUCUGUUUCCUUUUUCAGCCAACAGCACUCAGAAGGAGAUAUGCCAAGUGGCCAUAAGUCAAAGUGAAAUGCCAAAACAGCACAGUUCCGGACUAAACAUUCCACGGAGGGCUUCCCGCCACCCCCUCCCCGCCUUCGGGCUAUGCGACACAAACGUAAACGAAAGAUCCUUACACAAAACAGCAUAUGUCUCGCGGAGAGAAGGAGUUUGGCGGUAACGACACAAAGUGGUUGACCUUUGACGUCGACAAAAAUAAAAAUAAAAAAAGCUACAUUUCGUCUUCCUUCUUAAACGCUAGCCAGCUGUGUUUCCACUCAGGCAGCGGUUCUUAGAAAACCUUCAAGAUAUUGACCCGCCGCUCUCAAAACAUGGACACAAUAAAACAAACUGCUGCAAUAGCGGGACAGCACACCCCGAGGAUGUUUAUUUCCGUGCUUUAACUAUUCCAACUGUCUCCCUUUUACAGCUUUUUUCGGCCUCCUGGUGGAUGGAAGUUUUCAUUCAGGCUUAAGCGUUGCUCAAUUAUGCAUACCCAUGAGCUUGAUUUUUAAACUGAAGGGCUGCUUUUUUUUUUUUUUUUUUUUUUUUUUUUUUGGCGAAUGAAGAUGAAGGUGGCACCGACCGACUCAGUAAAACUGGACAGCCUACGUCUGCAAAAAUUCCGUUUCAAAGAGACACGUCAAAGAAAAACACGUUUAAAUUUCCAUUACUUUCAGUGACUGUUUUUCUGUCAGAAAAUCGGCAAUAAUGUUAUCAUUUCUUUGCAAAGUAAAAUCAAAUGUUUUAUUUUGAUUGGAUACAAAGAUAAUCACGUCGCUAGAGAAAUUCGAUAAUGUUUACUGUUGAGAAUCUGAAAUUCUAGGCAUUUGGACUAUUUUACAUGAAAAAAAGGCAUCUAAAUCAUUCAUCAAUUAAUUUGGCACUCUUAUUAGUUAUCGAUUAAUCGAUUAAUAGUCACACCUCUAAAAAAAUGGUAUUUCACCUUUCAUGUAUUGGCGAAUUCACAGGUAGCGGGUUGCAUUAUGUUGUGUUUCAUUUUAAAUGUCACUAAAUUUGUUCCUGUUUACAGAAAACAUAUGUUCCCCUACCGCCCCGAAAGUGAACGUGACCUUAAAACUAAGGUAUGUACCGAGCUAUGAUUUUCAGCGAGCCGUUACGGACAUGAGUUGGUCGCCAUGAGAUAGUUCAGAAAAAUGUAGUACAAGUCCGAAGACCCCCGCCCAUCUACUUGCAAGCACGGACAGGCUCGAACAAGACCGGAUGCGAGCUCCGCUGUGUCUGAGACGUGAAUUUUUACGCUUAUGAAGCGCACUCGCGGGUUUAAAAGGUGACGGCGGACGUUGAAGAAGAGCAGUCCAUUUGUGACCUUGGUCAAAGAGGGGCUGUGGACCCUCUCUUGUUCCAUCAGGAGAACCCGAAACCCGGAAGGAGGUUCACGCCCUGCCUCCUCUCAUUCAUCAGCAAUGCCUGUGGUUUGAAUUGAUCACAUAUUUCCUUACAUAUUUAUACACAUAUUUCAUUACAUUUGUGUCUCAUGACUCACUGCUGAGCUCAACACGCGCAUUUUCCUACGCAAUGUAUAUUGUCCCUUUAGUGCCACCAUACAAUCUCUUGUCUUCCCAUCUAAUACGCUAAGUGUGAAUGUUUGUUUGUCUGUAUGUGUUUAGCUGGCGAAUCGUCCAGAGUGUACCUCCUUCACCUUUCUGGUAUAGGCUCCAGCUCACCCCAAUUUGGUAAACCAAACAAUGACAAUAAAGGCUUUCACUUCCAUUCAAAUGAGCAAAAGUGGAAAAUGGAUGACGGUUGCCCACCCCCAGAUUGAAAUGAAAGCUCUACAAUACAUUAAACAAGCAAAAGGACGCCGAGAGGAGAAGGAAACAUGAGCCCAGUGAUGUCACGAGCAAUGGACUCCUCUGGUGUGUACGUGUGUGUGCGUGAGUGUGUGUGUGUGUGUGUGUGUGACAGGUUUGUGGCAUGCUCUACCCUCGGGCUAAAGUCAAAUAUGUCAACGUUGUGCAUGUGGAUUUCAUUUGGGAUGAGUUCAGUUACCGUGAGACCAUCCAUGGAAACGCAGCUCACCAGGAAGCGAUCUGUUUUUAUUAGAAGCCAGCUAGCCCGAAAUGACUGAAAUUGAUAUUUUCCUGGCCAAUUGAUCCCACGUGGAAGCCCAACACUACACACAC